GACGAAGCGCGCGAGAGAUUAAUCCCUGCGAGGUUCAGUGAGAGCCGAUCGAGGGAUAAGAUCAGCGAUGCCGGACUACGGCGGGAGGUACGACGGCAACGGCAACGGGGAGGCCUACAGCGAGUACCCCGGCUCCUCUCCGCCGCCGCGCUCCGGCGGCUUCGAUGGUUUCGGCGACCCCAAACCCCAGGAAAGAGGCUCCUCAAGGAGCAGGGAUA
rnacentral:misc_RNA from 1 species